rnacentral:rRNA from 1 species
UACAGAGGUCCCAAGCGUUGUUCGGAUUCACUGGGCGUAAAGGGUGCGUAGGCGGUUGGGUAAGUCUGACGUGAAAUCUCCGAGCCUAACUCGGAAACUGCGUCGGAUACUAUUCAACUUGAGGAAUGGAGGGGAGACUGGAAUUCUCGGUGUAGCAGUGAAAUGCGUAGAUAUCGAGAGGAACACCAGUGGCGAAGGCGAGUCUCUGGACAUUUCCUGACGCUGAGGCACGAAAGCCAGGGGAGCAAACGGG